rnacentral:rRNA from 1 species
GACGAACGCUGGCGGCGUGCUUAACACAUGCAAGUCGAACGAAGAGCGAUGGAAGCUUGCUUCUAUCAAUCUUAGUGGCGAACGGGUAAGUAACGCGUAAUCAACCUGCCCUUCAGAGGGGGACAACAGUUGGAAACGACUGCUAAUACCGCAUACGAUCCAAUCUCGGCAUCGGGACUGGAUGAAAGGUGGCCUCUAUUUAUAAGCUAUCACUGAAGGAGGGGAUUGCGUCUGAUUAGCUAGUUGGAGGGGUAACGGCCCACCAAGGCGAUGAUCAGUAGCCGGUCUGAGAGGAUGAACGGCCACAUUGGGACUGAGACACGGCCCAGACUCCUACGGGAGGCAGCAGUGGGGAAUCUUCCGCAAUGGACGAAAGUCUGACGGAGCAACGCCGCGUGAGUGAUGACGGCCUUCGGGUUGUAAAGCUCUGUUAAUCGGGACGAAUGGUUCUUGUGCGAAUAGUGCGAGGAUUUGACGGUACCGGAAUAGAAAGCCACGGCUAACUACGUG